rnacentral:rRNA from 1 species
AUGCAGGAAGAAUGUGUACCUGGGCCAUCGUUUAUUCUUCCAACCAACCAUCAAUGUCGAAAGAAAGGAAAGCAUUUCAAAGGCGAGGCAGAUCACCGAAAGAAGCCCGCCAUGUGUACCGGUGAUCACGUACUUGCUAUGGUCAAUGAUUUACACGUAAUCUUUGGAAAGGGUCCCGACGGACUAGCUGUUCUGAAUGACGCUGAGGGACACACACCCAUGUGGAAGAAGAAAUCUAUAUUUUGGGACCUACCCAACUUGAAAGACAUAGAGGUCCACUCUUCAAUCGACGUGAUGCACGUGACGAAGAACCUUUGCAUGAACCUGCUAGGCUUCUUGGGCGUGUAUGGGAAGACAAAAGAUACACCUGAGGCACGGGAGGACCUGAAACAUUUGCACGAAAAAGACGGCAUGCCUCCGAAGCAGUAUAAAGGUCCUGCCAGCUACGCUCUUAUGAAAGAAGAGAAAGAAAUCUUCUUUGAAUGCCUGCUCAGUAUGAAGGUCACGACUGGUUUCUUGUCGAAUAUAAAGGGAAUAAUAAAUAUGCCAGGGUAA